GUAAGGAAUAUUGGUCAAUGGGCGCAAGCCUGAACCAGCCAUGCCGCGUGCAGGAAGACGGCCCUACGGGUUGUAAACUGCUUUUAUACGGGAAUAAACCUACUUACGUGUAAGUAGCUGAAUGUACUGUAAGAAUAAGGAUCGGCUAACUCCGUGCCAGCAGCCGCGGUAAUACGGAGGAUCCAAGCGUUAUCCGGAUUUAUUGGGUUUAAAGGGUGCGUAGGCGGCCAAUUAAGUCAGGGGUGAAAGACGGUAGCUUAACUAUCGCAGUGCCUUUGAUACUGAUUGGCUUGAAUGUACUUGAGGUAGGCGGAAUGUGACAAGUAGCGGUGAAAUGCAUAGAUAUGUCACAGAACACCAAUUGCGAAGGCAGCUUACUAAAGUAUGAUUGACGCUGAGGCACGAAAGCGUGGGGAUCAAACAGGAUUAGAUACCCUUGUAGUCC
rnacentral:rRNA from 1 species